GAAGGAGGCCUGGGCUCAGGCCCAGAGUGCCAGCUUUGCCCUAUCCCAUAGCCUGGAGCCACCACAGGAGGGGCACUCCACUCUCUUGGGCUCCUGGAGCCUCAGAGGCAGAGUGAUUUUCUUGCUUCUUGUUUGAGCUGGGCUGUGACAUGUGCUUCCUCUCGAAGAGCCAGUGGAUUUGAUGAGAAGCACCGAGAGCACCGCCCGGCUCCCGGCAUCUGCGAGGCCUCGCACAGAGCCAGCCGGGAGUGCAGGAGGGAGAACUUUCCUGUGGACGUCCUGUGUUCUCCAGACGCAGAGAACCCUCAUCAACCGAGGGGGAGGUCACUUCCGAAUCCACAGAUGGCGUGUGAGUGCAUGGCGAGCGCCUCCAGGACACACUUACUGUUCCCUUGCUCUGGCCAGACGCCAGCCGGACCCUGUGUGUGCGCGCCGUGCUGCUCUUUGCAGCUGCCUGCAAGGGGUUCCUGCGAAGACCAGCACCUUGGGGAAGAGCCUGCGGCUGAACUUGAACUCGCAGCUACCUGAGUCAGACCUGUGCUUUUUCACCUCUACGGAAGAUGUCAGAGCGUUUCCCUAGCAAUGUUUUAGAAGUUACUUCUGUCUGGAAAAAAAUGGAAAAAAUGGCAAAUUAUGUUAUGUAUAAUUUGAUAAUUUUAAAGAAUUAAUGAUGUAAUUAUUAC
ensembl:lncRNA novel transcript, antisense to EGFL7 (HSPC324)